rnacentral:rRNA from 1 species
UACGGAGGGUGCAAGCGUUGUCCGGAUUUAUUGGGCUUAAAGGGUGCGUAGGCGGCUUAUUAAGUCAGGGGUGAAAGACUAUUGCUUAACAAUGGCAGUGCCUUUGAUACUGAUAGGCUUGAGUACAGUUGAGGCAGAUGGAACGGGUGGUGUAGCGGUGAAAUGCAUAGAUACCAUCCAGAACACCGAUUGCGAAGGCAGUCUGCUAAACUGUAACUGACGCUGAGGCACGAAAGCGUGGGGAUCGAACAGG